UUAAAACUCUUUUAAUAUACCUAAAGUUUAGAAAUUUUUGGCGUCUAGCUCACCCCCCUUUUUUUU
rnacentral:tRNA from 1 species